GACGGAGGGGGCAAGCGUUGUUCGGAAUUAUUGGGCGUAAAGGGCUCGUAGGCGGACCUGUAAGUUUGACGUGAAAUCUCCACCGCUCACCGGGGAGGGGCCGUUGAAUACUGCAGGUCUGGAGUUCGGCAGAGGACCAUGGAAUUCCAGGUGUAGCGGGUGGAAUGCGUAGAUAUCAGGAGGAACACCGAUGGCGAAGGCAGGAUCUCUGGGCGAUUAACUGACGCUGAGGAGCGAAAGCAUGGGGAGCGAACAGG
rnacentral:rRNA from 1 species